CCUACGGGGGGCAGCAGUGGGGAAUAUUGGACAAUGGGCGAAAGCCUGAUCCAGCCAUGCCGCGUGUGUGAAGAAGGCCUUCGGGUUGUAAAGCACUUUCAGUGGGGAAGAAAGCCUUGGGGCUAAUACCCUCGAGGAAGGACAUCACCCACAGAAGAAGCACCGGCUAACUCCGUGCCAGCAGCCGCGGUAAUACGGAGGGUGCGAGCGUUAAUCGGAAUUACUGGGCGUAAAGCGCGCGUAGGCGGUCUGAUAAGCCGGUUGUGAAAGCCCCGGGCUCAACCUGGGAACGGCAUCCGGAACUGUCAGGCUAGAGUGCAGGAGAGGAAGGUAGAAUUACCGGUGUAGCGGUGAAAUGCGUAGAGAUCGGGAGGAAUACCAGUGGCGGAGGCGGCCUUCUGGACUGACACUGACGCUGAGGUGCGAAAGCGUGGGUAGCAAACAGGAUGAGAUACCCUGUAGU
rnacentral:rRNA from 1 species